UACGUAGGGGGCAAGCGUUGUCCGGAGUUACUGGGCGUAAAGCGCACGUAGGCGGCUUUGUAAGUUAGAGGUGAAAGCCCGGGGCUCAACCCCGGAAUUGCCUUUAAGACUGCAUCGCUUGAAUCCGGGAGAGGUGAGUGGAAUUCCGAGUGUAGAGGUGAAAUUCGUAGAUAUUCGGAAGAACACCAGUGGCGAAGGCGGCUCACUGGACCGGUAUUGACGCUGAGGUGCGAAAGCGUGGGGAGCAAACAGG
rnacentral:rRNA from 1 species